UACGUAGGGUGCUAGCGUUAUCCGGAUUUAUUGGGCGUAAAGGGUGCGUAGGCGGUUUUUUAAGUCGGUGGUUAAAGGCUACGGCUCAACCGUAUUAAGCCGUCGAAACUGGAAGACUUGAGUGCAGGAGAGGAAAGUGGAAUUCUCGGUGUAGCGGUGAAAUGCGUAGAUAUUGGGAAGAACACCAGUAGCGAAGGCGGCUUUCUGGACUGUAACUGACACUGAGGCACGAAAGCGUGGGGAGCAAACAGG
rnacentral:rRNA from 1 species